CUAAUUGCUUUUCCUUUUGCUCUUUAACCUUCGACAUUUUCCCCCUUGGCUCUGUUCCAUCCGGUUUUGAUUUCAGAGAUUAAUUUCUUCUUCCCGUUUGCUUUGCUCUCUCUUUCGACUUUUGUUCUCCUCUCCUUCUCUCUUCUUUCACGGUAUAUAUCCCAUAGCCGGUCGAGGCGGUAAGAAAAUUGUCCUUCCUCCUAAACCCUAACCUCGCCGCUGACAAAGGAUUCUCCAUCUAAGUCUACAACCGAACCCUAGAUCUUACCUCUCAACAAGGACCUUUCCUAGUCGCUGGUCAAUACUCUCCUCCAAUUUUGUUUUAUGGAUCUAUCAGCCUAGAUCUGUCAUCAUCCUUGUCAAAGCUGGAGCACCCGUUGACCUACCAUCUCCGCUUUCUCCGAAUAUAUGCUCGACUCCUAUUUCUUACCUCUCGCGGACCGUGAAGUCCAGGUGGCGAGCAAUAUCAUCUUAUCAAAGGAUAUUUUCACUGUCGACAAGCUAGACCCUGAUGGCAAAAAGUUUGAUUAAGUUACUCGCUUUCAAGCUACGAGCCACAACUUGGAAAUGUUUAUGCAUUUAGAGGUUAACACAGAGGUUUAUCAAUUUGCUGUUGGUGAUAAGUUCACACUCUCUUGUUUGAUCUGUUUUGGGAUGCGUUUUAUGCAAUGGUGAUGUGCCGUGUUGUAGUCAACUGGAGUUGGAGGAAUCAAGAUUGUGAAUACGCCUUAAUGAAUAUAUGUAUCUUUAGAAGUUUCUAAGUAGAAAAAAAUUGUGGUAUGUAUUGUUGUUCUUCAUUAAAUACAAAUUCUUUUGGUCUCUUAAUAAAAAUUAUUAUUAUUAUUAUUA